AAAUUGAAGAGUUUGAUCAUGGCUCAGAUUGAACGCUGGCGGCAGGCCUAACACAUGCAAGUCGAACGGUAGCACAGAGAGCUUGCUCUCGGGUGACGAGUGGCGGACGGGUGAGUAAUGUCUGGGAAACUGCCCGAUGGAGGGGGAUAACUACUGGAAACGGUAGCUAAUACCGCAUAACGUCGCAAGACCAAAGUGGGGGACCUUCGGGCCUCACACCAUCGGAUGUGCCCAGAUGGGAUUAGCUAGUAGGUGGGGUAACGGCUCACCUAGGCGACGAUCCCUAGCUGGUCUGAGAGGAUGACCAGCCACACUGGAACUGAGACACGGUCCAGACUCCUACGGGAGGCAGCAGUGGGGAAUAUUGCACAAUGGGCGCAAGCCUGAUGCAGCCAUGCCGCGUGUAUGAAGAAGGCCUUCGGGUUGUAAAGUACUUUCAGCGAGGAGGAAGGCGUUGUGGUUAAUAACCACAGCGAUUGACGUUACUCGCAGAAGAAGCACCGGCUAACUCCGUGCCAGCAGCCGCGGUAAUACGGAGGGUGCAAGCGUUAAUCGGAAUUACUGGGCGUAAAGCGCACGCAGGCGGUUUGUUAAGUCAGAUGUGAAAUCCCCGGGCUCAACCUGGGAACUGCAUUUGAAACUGGCAAGCUUGAGUCUCGUAGAGGGGGGUAGAAUUCCAGGUGUAGCGGUGAAAUGCGUAGAGAUCUGGAGGAAUAC
rnacentral:rRNA from 1 species